CCCAAAAAAAAGAAGAGAGAACAUCUUCUUGAUCUAAAAACACGUAAAACUCCUAAUAGGCUUUCUUUUUUUCUUUCUUUUUUUUUUUUUUAACUGGAGAAUGCAUUGAUAAGUCAAGAUGUACAUAGAGGGGGGCAUAAACCAAACCUCUCAGAGGAAAGUUGGGAUGGACUAAGUCCAUCCAUUACAAUUUGACUAGUCCAACAAGAAUUAGGAGGGUUGCUCCUUAAACAGAUUAGCUCACAAAACAAAGGAACUAAGAAAGAUCAGUCAGCCUGGAUCAAAAAUAAAGGUCCUCUUUCUUACUCUGAUUCUGAAUUUGGCAUCCCUUUCUCGUCAUUCUUCAAUAAGGAUAUAAACUGCCUUGGAAGAUUUAUAGCCUCAGCGAAGAACUGACUCUUCCUCUCUACUUAAGCUAUAUUAGCUAGGAGGUCUGCUGUUACCUUCUCUGAGUGUGUGAACAUAAUGAAAAUUUUCAAUUAGAUUCAUUGCUUGAAUCGUUGAGAUCUCAUCCUUUAUAUGCCAAGUAGUAGAAAUUUCUCCGCUUAUCAUCUGGAUAACAACAAGAGAAUCUGACUCAACUGUCAACCUGUUGAAGCCAUGAUCUAAGCACCAUCUAACUCUGGUUUUGAUGCUUGAGCUUCAGCUGAAUUGUUUGAGCAACUACCAAGGUAAAUAGUGAAAGCCAUGAUCAAACGUUCGAGAUGAUCUCUUAACACCCCUCCACCUCCUGCAUUACUUGGGUUUCCUUUGCUACAACCAUCAACAUUUAAUUUGAAUUCCCCAACACUCGGUUUAUUCCAUCUCACAGGAAGAAUGUGUAGUUGAGGUUUGAUUAUAUCUACCAAUUGACAUAUCCUCGGGAAAGAAGACAUAAAAGGCGGAGAAAGAAAUUCAGUAGAAAGCAACAGUUGCAUCAAGUAGGAGGAGUGAAAGAGGAAGCUGGCAAUAGCCAGUCCAAAGAGGCCACUUAUGAAGCCACGCGUAGCGACGGCGCGUGAGUUAAUGAGUGUAUGCAGGGAGUUACAGGGGAGAUUCGAAGAAGUGAAGGUACCAUUUCUGAUAGUACACGGCGGCGAUGACGUCAUUUGCGAUCCAGUCUGUGCGGAGGAGCUAUAUCGACGAUCGAUGAGUAAUGACAAGACUUUGAAUAUAUAUCCAGGAAUGUGGCAUCAGCUGGUCGGCGAACCAGAGGAGAAUGUGGAGAAAGUGUUCGGAGAUGUUGUGGAGUGGCUCAGAACGAGAGCUGAGAAGACCACCGUGGACGGCGGCGCGUGGGAAAGCGUUUGAAUGGAAGUAGUUUUGAAUAUUGUAGUUGAGGAGUGGUUGGUUAAUUGUUAAAGAAGUGCUAAGGUAGAUAAGAAAACAGCAAACAGUGUGAUCUGUAACUCAAUAAGGACCAAAAAUAACUUUGUACAAGCAUUAUGCUGAACAAUAAUUGCUAGUUUGCUACUCAACCUUGAACAGUAAAGUCGACUCCUUUUCUCA